UAUCCACCACCGCCAGGUGUCAUAAUAACAAUAUGGUCACCAGCUUGCAUAUGGCAUGUGUUUUUACCGCCAACGUUGAUUUGUCGAACUCGUUGCUCUCCUGAAGGUAAGAUAUCCUUUCGAAUCCAAAUGUUUUUACCGCAUUCGGCAUCUUUACCUCCUUUCAUACCGUAUGGAUGAUAGGCACGACGCUCUGAAAGUAUGGAAAGGGUAACUGGAAUUCUGAAUUCAAUAUCGCGAAUAACACCAUCACCACCUUUGUACUUUCCUGCGCCGCCAGAAUUUUCACGAAUGAUAAACUUUCUCAAAAUGACAGGGUAUCUUCUUUCAAGUACCUCCAAAUCAGUAAUUCGGGUGUUAGUCAUAUGAGUAUGAACACCAGAAGUUCCGUCUAAUCCAUCAAUUGCACCAGAUCCACCGCAAAUAGUCUCAUAGUAUCCAAAUCCUGGUUUCACUUCACCGGUCUCUGGAUCUUUACCGCCAAUUCCAAAUGUCAAAUUGUUUGUGUCACCCUGACUAGCUGCACAUGCUUGGAAUGCCUUGAGAAUAGUAUCAGUGAUUCUUUGCGACGUUAGCACAUUUCCACCUACUACAGCAGCUGUUUCAGAGGGUUU